rnacentral:lncRNA from 1 species
AACUGAAGGUUUCCACUAAAAGAAACUGAAUCUCCUUGGAGAAAUGGCUGAUUCAAUGUCUGGAGCAAAGAAAGUGCAAGAUGAGCCUGGGACCUCCUCUGCUACAGAAUCGUGAAAUAAGUAAAGAAGCACUCAAAACCAACAGGCAUAUGUCAGAAGGACACAGAGACCAACUGGAAGGGGCUCCCGUUGGCCUAAUUUGGGACAAAUUGAGAAUUGAAAAGAAAACCGAUGGUAAUGAUUUUUCCUAGUUGACAGUGAUACUCAAGAACAUUAAAAGUCAACAUUCAGCUAAAAAUCGCUGGUAUCCUAUAAUAAACAUGACAUUGUGCUGGGAUUCUGGAAACCAGGCUGGGGGCAAAGAAACAUGAUAUGAAGACCCCAUCCAGAAGAAGUUACACAUCUAGGACAGGCAGCUAGGUCUUUGAGGAGUCGCCACACUGUCUUCCACAAUGGCUGAACUAAUUUACACUCUCAUCAACAGUGUGUAAGCAUUUCUUUUUCUCUACAACCUUGCCAGCAUCUGUUUUUGUUUUGUUUUGUUUUCACCUUUUAGUAAUAGCCAUUCUGACUGCUGUUAGAUGGUAUCUCAUUAUGGUUUUGAUUUGCAUUUCUUUAAUGAUCAGUGAUGUUGAGCUUUUCUUCAUAUGAUUGUUGGCCGCAUGUAUGUCUUCUUUCAAAAAGUGUCUGUUCAU